AUUGAACGCUGGCGGCAGGCCUAACACAUGCAAGUCGAGCGGAUGAAGGGAGCUUGCUCCUGGAUUCAGCGGCGGACGGGUGAGUAAUGCCUAGGAAUCUGCCUGGUAGUGGGGGAUAACGUCCGGAAACGGGCGCUAAUACCGCAUACGUCCUGAGGGAGAAAGUGGGGGAUCUUCGGGCCUCACGCUAUCAGAUGAGCCUAGGUCGGAUUAGCUAGUUGGUGGGGUAAAGGCCUACCAAGGCGACGAUCCGUAACUGGUCUGAGAGGAUGAUCAGUCACACUGGAACUGAGACACGGUCCAGACUCCUACGGGAGGCAGCAGUGGGGAAUAUUGGACAAUGGGCGAAAGCCUGAUCCAGCCAUGCCGCGUGUGUGAAGAAGGUCUUCGGAUUGUAAAGCACUUUAAGUUGGGAGGAAGGGCAGUAAGUUAAUACCUUGCUGUUUUGACGUUACCAACAGAAUAAGCACCGGCUAACUUCGU
rnacentral:rRNA from 1 species